rnacentral:rRNA from 1 species
AGCCUAAAGGUUUAUUUUAGGUGAUACCUGCCCAGUGCUAAUAUAGUUAACGGCCGCAGUACCUUGACUGUGCUAAGGUAGCAUAAUAAGUUGGCUUUUAAAUGGAGUCGGGAAUGAAUGGGAUAAUGGGGUUAAGCUGUCUCUAUCGCAUUAAUUUUAACUUAACUAUUAGGUGAAAAUGCCUAAGUCACGAAAAAAGACGAGAAGACCCUAGGAGUUUUUAUGAAAAGUUUUUAUUUUAGCUUAAAUUUUUGUUGGGGCGACACGGGAAGAUAAAUAUAUUUAAACUUCCUUUAUUUUAUUUGCCGACUAUGUAUGAUAAUUUAAACUACCCUAGGGAUAACAGCGUAAUUUUUUAUAAAGUUUGCGACCUCGAUGUUGGACUAGGAAUUUUAUAGACUAGCCGUCUAUUAUUAUUGUUCUGUUCGAACUUUUCCUCC